AGGACGAACGCUGGCGGCGUGCCUAACACAUGCAAGUCGAGCGGGGUUGAAGCGAGGGGUAACUCAAGCGUUCUACCGUAGCGGCGGACGGGUGAGUAACGCGUGGGCAACCUGCCUCAAGGUCUGGGAUAACAGCUCGAAAGGGCUGCUAAUACCGGAUAUGCCUAUGGCCUCGCAUGGGGCUAUGAGCAAAGGGGAAACCUGCCUUGAGAUGGGCCCGCGUCCCAUCAGCUAGUUGGUGAGGUAACAGCUCACCAAGGCGACGACGGGUAGCCGGCCUGAGAGGGUGACCGGCCACACUGGGACUGAGACACGGCCCAGACUCCUACGGGGGGCAGCAGUGGGGGAUCUUGCACAAUGGGCGAAAGCCUGAUGCAGCGACGCCGCGUGAGCGAAGAAGGCCUUCGGGUUGUAAAGCUCUGUCUGGAGGGACGAAGGAAGUGACGGUACCUCCGGAGGAAGCCACGGCUAACUACGUG
rnacentral:rRNA from 1 species